rnacentral:rRNA from 1 species
UACAGAGGGUGCGAGCGUUAAUCGGAAUUAAUGGGAGUAAAGAGUGCGUAGACGGUUAUGUAAGUAGGAUGUGAAAGCCCCGGGCUCAACCUGGGAAUUGCAUUCGAGACUGAAUAGCUAGGGUGCGGUAGAGGGAAGCGGAAUUUCCGGUGUAGCGGUGAAAUGCGUAGAUAUCGGAAGGAACAUCAGUGGCGAAAGCGGCUUCCUGGACCAGCACCGACGUUCAGGCACGAAAGCGUGGGGAGCAAACAGG